rnacentral:rRNA from 1 species
GCAUAAGCUCGCGCAAGCGAGGAAAACCUUGGUGCCUUGGGAGGGGCCCGCGGCCUAUCAGGUAGUUGGUGAGGUAACGGCUCACCAAGCCGACGACGGGUAGGGGGCGUGAGAGCGUGGCCCCCCACACGGGAACUGAGACACGGUCCCGACGCCUACGGGCGGCAGCAGUGAGGAAUCUUGCCCAAUGGGGGAAACCCUGAGGCAGCGACACCGCGUGCGGGAUGAAGGCCUUCGGGUCGUAAACCGCUUUUCUGGGGGACGAGUAAGGACGGUACUCCAGGAAUAAGUCCCGGCUAACUACGUGCCAGCAGCCGCGGUAAAACGUAGGGGGCGAGCGUUAUCCGGAAUCACUGGGCGUAAAGGGCGUCUAGGCGGCAGCCUAAGUCCCGUGUGAAAGCUCCCGGCUCAACUGGGAGAGGGCAUGGGAGACUGGGCAGCUAGAGACUCGGAGGGGGGUGUGGAAUUCCCGGUGGAGUGGUGGAAUGCGUUGAGAUCGGGAGGAACACCAGUAGCGAAGGCGGCACCCUGGCCGAGAUCUGACGCUGAAGCGCGAGAGCGUGGGGAGCGAACGGGAUUAGAUACCCCGGUAGUCCACGCCGUAAACGAUGACAACUAGGUGUUGGGUGUCCAAGGAUGCUCAGUACCGCAGCAAACGCGAUAA